ACUGUGAAACUGCGAAUGGCUCAUUAAAUCAGUUAUGGUUUAUUUGAUGGUACCUUGCUACUUGGAUAACCGUAGUAAUUCUAGAGCUAAUACAUGCAGGAGUUCCCGACUCACGGAGGGAUGUAUUUAUUAGAUAAGAAACCAAACCGGUCUCCGGUUGCGUGCUGAGUCAUAAUAACUGCUCGAAUCGCACGGCUCUACGCCGGCGAUGGUUCAUUCAAAUUUCUGCCCUAUCAGCUUUCGAUGGUAGGAUAGAGGCCUACCAUGGCGUUAACGGGUAACGGAGAAUUAGGGUUCGAUUCCGGAGAGGGAGCCUGAGAAAUGGCUACCACAUCCAAGGAAGGCAGCAGGCGCGUAAAUUGCCCGAAUCCUGACACAGGGAGGUAGUGACAAGAAAUAACAAUACAGGGCUAUUUUAGUCUUGUAAUUGGAAUGAGUACAAUUUACAUCUCUUCACGAGGAUCAAUUGGAGGGCAAGUCUGGUGCCAGCAGCCGCGGUAAUUCCAGCUCCAAUAGCGUAUAUUAAAGUUGUUGCAGUUAAAACGCUCGUAGUCGGAUUUCGGGGCGGGCCGACCGGUCUGCCGAUGGGUAUGCACUGGCCGGCGCGUCCUUCCACCCGGAGACCGCGCCUACUCUUAACUGAGCGGGCGCGGGAGACGGGUCUUUUUACUUUGAAAAAUUCAGAGUGUUUCAAGCAGGCAGUCGCUCUUGCAUGGAUUAGCAUGGGAUAAUGAAAUAGGACUCUGGUGCUAUUUUGUUGGUUUCGAACANCGGAGUAAUGAUUAACA
rnacentral:rRNA from 1 species